AUUGAACGCUGGCGGCAUGCCUUACACAUGCAAGUCGAACGGCAGCACGGGUGCUUGCACCUGGUGGCGAGUGGCGAACGGGUGAGUAAUACAUCGGAACGUACCUUAUCGUGGGGGAUAACGCAGCGAAAGCUGUGCUAAUACCGCAUACGCCCUGAGGGGGAAAGCGGGGGAUCGAAAGACCUCGCGCGAUUAGAGCGGCCGAUGCCUGAUUAGCUUGUUGGUGGGGUAAAAGCCCACCAAGGCGACGAUCAGUAGCUGGUCUGAGAGGACGAGCAGCCAGACUGGGACUGAGACACGGCCCAGACUCCUACGGGAGGCAGCAGUGGGGAAUUUUGGACAAUGGGGGCAACCCUGAUCCAGCAAUGCCGCGUGAGUGAAGAAGGCCUUCGGGUUGUAAAGCUCUUUUGUCAGGGAAGAAACACCGGCUCUAACACAGUCCGGGAAUGACGGUACCUGAAGAAUAAGCACCGGCUAACUACGUGCCAGCAGCCGCGGUAA
rnacentral:rRNA from 1 species